CAGCAGCCACGGGAACACGAAGGGGGCUAGCGUUGCUCGGAAUUACUGGGCGUAAAGGGAGCGUAGGCGGGUCGUUUAGUCAGAGGUGAAAUCCCGGGGCUCAACCUCGGAACUGUCUUUGAUACUGUCGAUCUUGAGUAUGGGAGAGGUGUGUGGAACUCCGAGUGUAGAGGUGAAAUUCGUAGAUAUUCGGAAGAACACCAGUGGCGAAGGCGACACACUGGCCCAUUACUGACGCUGAGGAGCGAAAGCGUGGGGAGCGAACAGGAUUAGAUACCCCAGUAGUCCCUGUCUCUUAUAC
rnacentral:rRNA from 1 species